CAAGGUAUAGCUUAACGCAAAGCAUCCGGCCUACACCCGGAAGAUCUCAGUACAAUUUGACUACCUUGA
ensembl:Mt_tRNA